GACGAACGCUGGCGGCGUGCUUAACACAUGCAAGUCGAACGAAGUGGCGAACGGGUGACUAACGCGUAAUCAACCUGCUCUCCAGAGGGGGACUACAGAUGGAAACGACUGCUAAUACUGCAUCCUGAAGGAGGGGAUUGCGUCUGAUGGGCGAGUUGGAGGUGUAACGGCCCACCAAGGCGAUGAUCAGUAGGCGGUCGUGGGAGCUGGACGGCCCGCUUGGGACUGGGACGCGGCCCAGACUCCUACGGGACGCGGCAGUGAGGAAUCUUCCGCGAUGGACGAGAGUCUAACGGAGCAACGCGGCGUGAGUGAUGACGGCCUUCGGGUUGUAAAGCUCUAUUAAUCGGGACGCGGUACCGGAAUAAAAAGCCACGGCUAACUACGUGCCAGCAGCCGCGGUAAUAC
rnacentral:rRNA from 1 species